GGGGAUGUAGCUUAGUUGGGAGAGCGCCGCCCUUGCACGGCGGAGGUCAGCGGUUCAAAUCCGCUCAUCUCCACCA
rnacentral:tRNA from 1 species